UACGUAGGUGACAAGCGUUGUCCGGAUUUACUGGGCGUAAAGAGCGCGCAGGCGGUCGUUCAAGUCGAGUGUGAAAGCCCCCGGCUCAACUGGGGAGGGUCAUUCGAUACUGAUCGACUCGAAGGCAGGAGAGGGUAGUGGAAUUCCCGGUGUAGUGGUGAAAUGCGUAGAUAUCGGGAGGAACACCAGUGGCGAAGGCGGCAUCCUGGACCGACAUUGACGCUGAGGAGCGAAAGCUAGGGGAGCAAACGGG
rnacentral:rRNA from 1 species